rnacentral:rRNA from 1 species
AGGACGAACGCUGGCGGCGUGCUUAACACAUGCAAGUCGAGCGGUAAGGCCUUUCGGGGUACACGAGCGGCGAACGGGUGAGUAACACGUGGGUGAUCUGCCCUGCACUUCGGGAUAAGCCUGGGAAACUGGGUCUAAUACCGGAUAUGACCUCCUAUCGCAUGGUGGGUGGUGGAAAGAUUUAUCGGUGCAGGAUGGGCCCGCGGCCUAUCAGC